UACAGAGGGUGCGAGCGUUAAUCGGAUUUACUGGGCGUAAAGCGUGCGUAGGCGGUUGGGUAAGUCGGAUGUGAAAGCCCUGGGCUUAACCUGGGAAUGCCAUUCGAUACUGCUCGACUCGAGUUCGGUAGAGGGCGGUGGAACUCCAGGUGUAGCGGUGAAAUGCGUAGAUAUCUGGAAGAACACCAAUGGCGAAGGCAACCGCCUGGGCCUGAACUGACGCUGAGGCACGAAAGCGUGGGGAGCAAACAGG
rnacentral:rRNA from 1 species